rnacentral:rRNA from 1 species
CAGUCGAGGGGCAGCGGGAGGAAAGCUUGCUUUUCUUGCCGGCGACCGGCGCACGGGUGAGUAACACGUAUGCAACCUGCCCAUGACAGGGGGAUAAGCGGGAGAAAUUCCGUCUAAUACCGCAUAACACCCCCGGGAGACAUCUCUCGGGAGCCAAAGGAGCGAUCCGGUCAUGGAUGGGCAUGCGGCGCAUUAGUUAGUUGGCGGGGUAACGGCCCACCAAGGCGACGAUGCGUAGGGGUUCUGAGAGGAAGGUCCCCCACACUGGUACUGAGACACGGACCAGACUCCUACGGGAGGCAGCAGUGAGGAAUAUUGGUCAAUGGGCGAGAGCCUGAACCAGCCAAGUCGCGUGAGGGAAGACGGUCCUACGGAUUGUAAACCUCUUUUGUCGGGGAGCAAUAAGGCGUACGUGUACGCAGAUGCGAGUACCCGAAGAAAAAGCAUCGGCUAACUCCGUGCCAGCAGCCGCGGUAAUACGGAGGAUGCGAGCGUUAUCCGGAUUUAUUGGGUUUAAAGGGUGCGCAGGCGGAAAGUGCAAGUCAGCGGUCAAACGACGGGGCUCAACCCCGUCUCGCCGUUGAAACUGUCUUUCUAGAG